ACUCCUGCGGGAGGCAGCAGUGGGGAAUUUUGGACAAUGGGCGAAAGCCUGAUCCAGCAAUGCCGCGUGAGUGAAGAAGGCCCUCGGGUUGUAAAGCUCUUUUGUCAGGGAAGAAACGGUGAAAGCUAAUAUCUUUUGCUAAUGACGGUACCUGAAGAAUAAGCACCGGCUAACUACGUGCCAGCAGCCGCGGUAAUACGUAGGGUGCAAGCGUUAAUCGGAAUUACUGGGCGUAAAGCGUGCGCAGGCGGUUUUGUAAGUCUGAUGUGAAAUCCCCGGGCUCAACCUGGGAAUUGCAUUGGAGACUGCAAAGCUAGAAUCUGGCAGAGGGGGGUAGAAUUCCACGUGUAGCAGUGAAAUGCGUAGAUAUGUGGAGGAACACCGAUGGCGAAGGCAGCCCCCUGGGUCAAGAUUGACGCUCAUGCACGAAAGCGUGGGGAGCAAACAGGAUUAGAUACCCCAGUAGUCCCA
rnacentral:rRNA from 1 species